rnacentral:tRNA from 1 species
UGGCUUGGUUGGUAGAGCAUGGUGCUUGCAAUGCCAGGGUUGUGGGUUUGAUUCCCAU